rnacentral:lncRNA from 1 species
GAAGAUCUAUGAGUACCUCCGAGAUACUGGGUACCGUUAUCUAAUAGAUCAACUUCGCCAACAUGAAUCCUGUUUCCAUUGAGAUUGAGGAAGCUCCAUUAUUGGACAGCAAUGGUGAAAUUAAGCAGCAAAUGGACCUAAAUUUUUUCAAAGCUGCAUCUGCGGGCAAUUCAGAACCGUUCAAAGACAUGGAAAGAGAUGUAAUUGAGAGAUUGUUAACAGCAAAGGCCAAAAACACAAUCCUGCAUAUCAACAUCAUAUCAUCAGAAAGAGAAAAUGUGUCAACGAAGUUCGUAGAAGAAAUACUUGAGAAAUGCCCAGCACUGCUACUACAAGUUAAUGCCAAAGGCGAUACUCCACUUCACCUUGCAGCAAAAUUCGGCCAUUUUGAGAUAGUGAGAGUUCUUAUUGAAAGAGCAAAAUUAGCUCAACGUGGAGAUGAAGAGCCAGAGAGCGGGGUUGAACCUUUCAGGCAAAUGAUUAGGAUGGUGAAUAACGAGAAGAAUACAGCACUCCACGAGGCAGUGUCUCAAGGCAACGUGGACGUGGUGAAAAUACUGACAAGAGAAGACCCUGGUUAUCCAUAUUCUGCAAAUAAUUACGGCAAAACGCCACUCUACAUGGCUGCUGAGUAUGAGAACCGUUCUGAUAUGUUGCGUGGCCUUUUGGAAAACCGCACAUCAGCGUCCUUUGAUAUGGUGCUUGCCCUGUUAGAAAACAGCACAUCAGUAUCUCAUGAAGGCCCCAACGGAAAGACGGCUUUACAUGCUGCAGCAAUGAGAUCUUUUGCCGGUAAGUUUAAUGAUACCCUUUCAGUGAAUUAUUAGAUUUAGUGAGUUAUUAAAUUAGCGAAUUAUUAAAUUUAGUGAAUUAUUAACUAAAUCUAAUUAUACCCUCAAAGAGAAUUAUUUAACUACUAUUCUCAAUUCCGGUUUUUCUCCUCACUCAUCAUGAAUCAAUCAUAAUUUCUGAAAAUCACAAUAAAUUAUAAUGAUCUCAAUAAGCAAAUUUAUUUUUCAUAUAUGAAAAUACAUACUUGUUUAUAUAUAAUGCAAAUGGAUAACAUGCCAGUCUUUUAAAAAUAUUAUAAAACAAAUUCUUUAAAAUUUCUUUUGCCAUGAUCAAACUUCACAUUUCCUUUUAAAUCACUUACUUCAAUUACCUUCAUUCAAUUACUAUUCAAUAAGACUCUCACUUAACAUUUAUAACUUUGGUUUUCAUGUAAACUUCCUUCACCCACUUAUCUCUUAAAUAUUAUAUCUACAGUGUCCACUAAGCGAGUAAAGAAUUCAAGAAACUAAGCAAAAUCGAAAAACUUUCUUUCUUUCUUCAAAAUCAAUUUGCUCGAAUCCACUUUCUUAUUUUCCGAAAAACAUAAUGCAUAUUCAUGUUAAUGCCAAUAAAUUUUUACACAUACAUAUAUAUGUGUAUAAAUCAUAUUUGACACAUAACAACACAUUGCAUAAAUACAUGGACAGACCAUAUAAAUCCAUACCCCGUACAUAUCAAAAUAAACUUUUGAAACACGUAAAAUAGAUACAUAUUUUUUAUCGUGAUUAAGUAACAAAAGUGUAUUACACCAUCGGUCUAAAACCAAUAAUAAAACGCUCAUGAGAUAUCAUCAUAUCCUCAUUCAUGAGUUAAUAAAAUAUCCCAAAAUUUUAAAUUACCAAAUUACCCUUGAAAAUUCUAAAUUACCAAAAUGCCCUCGCUGGUCAAUGAUGACCGGAAUUCGAGCGGCGAUGAUCAAAUAAGUCAAAACAGGAACUUCAGCUCGCUCUGAAUCCAAAGGUGGCAGCGGUGUGCUCCGACGCGUAGCCAUGGUGCCCGAUCGAGUUUCGACAGCCGUGAAACUUCAACGGCUGAUCGGCGACAAAUCGGCCACUGUUUGAUGGUCAGAAAUUGAAGUGACUGCCAUAAACGACAAAUCCCAGGUGACGACAUGAUCGAAAUCAGGUAAAAACUCGCCGAUUUGAGUUUUCGUCCUCCAUGACUUAACACGGGCUUGUGGACUGGUCAUAGGCUGUUUUCCAGCAACAAUGAUGAUAGGGGAAUGACCGCGUCGUCUGGGAGUUCGGUUGAUACCCUCCAUCGCCGGAGAUGUGGCCAGAAUCGGAAGCACCGAUUCAGGUUUCGUGAACGGGUUGACCCGACCUGUUUCCUCUCUCCUCUGAGCCGAUCGCCACGUUCUCUCUCCCACUUAAUUUACUUAAUUCACUUAAUCCAGUUAAUGACUAAAUAUUCUUAGGAGAAUUAAUUUUUUUAUUACUGACAAAAAUACUCUUAAUUUAUGAAGAAAUUAAGUGCUGU